GGUGGCGUCCGGCUCCGCCGCUCCGAGGACUGGACCCUCCAGUGUCCUCUUGCGCUGCUGCUCGCCCCCAAAUCUGCCGCUAGCAGGUGGGAGGGCAUCGCUCCUGUGUGGAUCUUGUGCGUCUUAACGGCGCUUUAACCAACUGCAGCCACGACCUGUUGGUGUGCAGUCCACAUCCACAAAGCAGAAUCCCACAGGGCAAGUACAGCUGCAAACCCAAGUGAUCAGUUCCAUGUGGCAGGGAGGACAAGGGAGGCCACAAGGUUCAGCAGCACCCAGAGUUUGUGACAGUGUGGAAGAUAAUAACCACCAAGAAUUUAUCUACUCUCUGUCCCAAGAAGAACUAAGAAGAAUUUAAACCACAAUGAGAUCAAGCAAGGCUGGCUAAGUAAGAGUAAGAACUUGUCUCUUAUCUCUUCACUGUCCACUAAUAGCAUUUCCUCCCUGCUGAUUGCAGAUCACAGUAACACACUCUA
rnacentral:lncRNA from 1 species